ensembl:lncRNA
CCACAGUGAGGGGAACAGCAAGCUAUUAUCCGGCCCAGUGUUAUCUGCCAAUCAGGACCUAGAGGAUCGGGGUUGUUUCACACACACACAAGGACCCUUUCUCUCUCCUCUACACACACACACACAAGCCUGGGAUUCCAACACACAGCCGCGCUUUCUUACAGUGAAUCAGCUGCCAAGCUGGGCUGGAGCGGAGCUGUGGAAACAACACCCAGACAGACACCUGAAGAGUCUCCCACAUCCUGACGGGCAUACACACGUGCACAUGUACUCGACGGAACCACACACGCGGUAGAACCACACACGCGGCAGAGCUGGUGACAAGACAUGCCUAGAGGAAGUGUUGAAACUGUAUGUUAGUCAUGAGACACCAUUAGACAGUUUGGGUGAUGAAUGAACCUACAUCAGGUGUGAAAGACUGCCCUGCACAGCCAUGCCCUGCGCUCACAAAUCACCAGGACAGAGGGCCAGCCAGUUGACGGGGGAGGGAGAGCACCUCGUCUGUCUCUGUCUCUCUGAUGUCGGACGCUUGGGGUCAAAAGGUGACAAGACCUUUUUUGCCCUACAACGAGGAGGUCAGCUCUCCUGACCGCAGCCAACCGCCCAUACAACACAGCCAACAGCCUGUGAAGAGUCCCAACCCUGAGUCAUAAUGACUGGUGGUUAACCAACAGGCGAUGAAUACUAUAAUCCUAACGCCCUUUCACAUUUAGUCCUGCUGAGGGUUCCCUGACCCACCAGAGCAGAGAGCUGGAGCCCAGAGACACUGCAGCUGAAGGAGCUCUAGGCUGCAGCCCAGAGAGCACACAUCUACAGGCUAUAAAACAGCAAUGAAACACCAGGAGGAGAAACAUAGUUGGAAUUCACAGACACUCACUUCUUCUCCUCUAUCUCCCACUCUUCUUCCUAUCCUUUCUUUCCCUCUCUCAGCCUCAUCUUCCUGUCUUGUUUUCUCUCUCCUCUCUCCUCUCUCUCUCCUCUCUCUCUCCUCUCUCCACAGGGCUGCACAUAAACAGUUGGUCUUCUGGUUGAUGUGACUUUUUGUGACCCCUGACAUUUGCCCUGUUUACAGAUGAGAUGCCCUCUGUCCCUGCACACCCACAUGCAGAUCUGCAGUGUUCAUUAUGACAGUCCGACUAUAUUCUCCUAAAACCAGAUCGCCGCUUACAUCACUCUUUCAUAUAGCGUUGUGCCGGUUCCAGCUUGCCUUGAUUAGGGCUUAACAUUCUUAGAUGAACUUAUAAAAUAAGUCUAUUUAAAACACAUAUGUACUUAGUAUUUUGAGUUCAGAUUUUCUUUUAAAAUCUGUGUGAUAAGAAUGUGACAUUAUUUUUCCAUGGCGCUGAAAUAUAAUAGGAUCGCGUGCAGGAGAUUUCUGUCAAAA